UUAUGAUCCUCCUACCUUAGCCACCCAAGUCCCUGGGAUUUUAGGUGCGUGCCACUGUGCCCUGCGUCAUGUUUGUGUACUUUGUAAAUUACACACAGAACAACAAACUGAAGCUAAGUUUAUAACAAGCUAAGUGAAGAAAAGUCAUCGGUCAUUUGAAUCUUAUAUAUUUCAGUGCCCUCUGGAAAGAAUCAUUAGCAAUAUUCAUCUCUAAUAAAAUAACAUAAUUGAUGGUCCUGGCUUUAUUAAUGUUGCCAAAUCAUCAUUCAGUACAAACCAGGCAUGCUUUUGCUGUGGCGAAAGGAGUCUGCUCUGGCAUUUAGACCUGUGUGUUUGUGUAAGUGGGGGCACAUAAUCAUUCAUGUGGAUUGUUGUGAUAUUUUGAAUCAGAUACACUGGAGGAAGUCUCAGUAACUAAACUUCAUGGAGAUUACUGCAUAGUGGAUAAUAUUUGGUUUCCUCUAUACUUGAUAAAGGCCAAAAUCAAGGUAAACAUAAUAAUCUAUCACAAGGUUGGCCAGCAUUUCCAUGAAAUACCAGUUAGUGAAUCUUUUCAACCUUGUGGGCCAUGUUGCCUCUGUCACCACCAAGACAAUACAAAGUGCAUAGGUGUACAGUAUUCCAGUAAAACUUUAUUUACACCAUGUAUGAUAGCACAUGCCUGUGAACCCAGUGACUCAGGAGGCUGAAGCAGGAAGAUCAAAAGCCAGCCUGGGCAACUUAGCGAGAUCCUGUCUCAAAAUAAAAAGAUAGGGGGAGCUGGAUAUGUUACUCAGUGACAGAGCACUUGCCUAACGUGCAAACCUCAAAAAGCAAACACACACACAAGCAAAAAUCCACUUCAUUUACAAAAACAAAUGGCCAGACUCAAGUUUGCCAACCCUUAAUUUGUCAAUCCACAAGUUAAAUUUAUCCUGUGGUAAAGGUACUCUUCCGUGAAGACUUGAGUCAAGGAAUGUAGUAACCUGAAAGCGGUAGAUGAGUUGGAGUUUUGUCUAGUGCAAUGAAGAUAAAAUGUACAUUGAAGUCAUUGUCAGAUUAACAAACUUCUUUAGCCCAAGAAUUUUUUAAGCAGGCAGCAAGUUCAUUUCUAGGUUUACAAUCAGUCCUCUGGUGUAUGAUUCCUAUCCUUGAAGUUAACCAUCAAAAGUAAACCAUUAAGUUAUUCUUGAUUUUGUUUGUUUGUUUUGUUGCCUUAGUUAUCACGUGAAGGUAAAUAAAAAGACCAAGGUCCCCAAAGUAUGCGCUGUGUGUGUGUGUGUGUGUGUGUGUGAGAGAGAGAGAGAGAAUGUGUGUGUGAUGCUGGAGUAGAACCCAGGACCUCACACACACUCUGAAAAUGCUCUACUACUGAGCUACAUCCCCAGCCCCUCCACAGCACGCUUUGGAGCAGAAUCUUUGGCCACUGUAAUGGCGGGCAUGUCAUCUCCUGACAUCAGAAUAGCAACCCUUUUGUACUUGGUCAUUUAAAAAAAAAAAAAAAAAAACUUUUCAUUUAAAAUGUACUGUACAUUGUACACAUUAAUUAUAUAACAAUAUACUAUGUCACCACCUAAAUAAC
rnacentral:lncRNA from 1 species